UACAGAGGGUGCGAGCGUUUAAUCGGAAUUACUGGGCGUAAAGCGUGCGUAGGCGGUUCCUCAAGUCCGUUGUGAAAGCCCCGGGCUCAACCUGGGAAUGGCAGUGGAAACUAGGGGACUGGAAUCUGGCAGAGGGGGGUGGAAUGCCGCGGUGUAGCAGUGAAAUGCGUAGAGAUGCGGCGGAACACCGAUGGCGAAGGCAGCCCCCUGGGCUGAGAUUGACGCUCAGGCACGAAAGCGUGGGGAGCAAACAGG
rnacentral:rRNA from 1 species